rnacentral:rRNA from 1 species
UACAGAGGGUGCAAGCGUUGUUCGGAAUCAUUGGGCGUAAAGGGCGUGUAGGCGGUCUGUUAAGUCAUGUGUGAAAGCCCCGGGCUCAACUUGGGAACUGCAUUUGAUACUGUCAGACUAGAGUACAGAAGAGGUGACUGGAAUUCCCAGUGUAGCGGUGAAAUGCGUAGAUAUUAGGAAGAACACCAGUGGCGAAGGCGGCUCACUGGCCCGGUACUGACGCUCAUGUGCGAAAGCGUGGGGAGCAAACAGG